rnacentral:rRNA from 1 species
CCUACGGGGGGCAGCAGUGAGGAAUAUUGGUCAAUGGCCGAGAGGCUGAACCAGCCAAGUCGCGUGAGGGAAGACGGCCCUACGGGUUGUAAACCUCUUUUGUCGGGGAGCAAAGCGAGUCACGUGUGACUCAUUGAGAGUACCCGAAGAAAAAGCAUCGGCUAACUCCGUGCCAGCAGCCGCGGUAAUACGGAGGAGGCGAGCGUUAUCCGGAUUUAUUGGGGUUAUAGAGUGCGCAGGCGGAGGUGCAAGUCAGCGGUAAAAUUGCGGGGCCCAACCCCGCACUGCCGUUGAAACUGCAGCCCUUGAGUGCGCGAGAAGUAUGCGGAAUGCGUGGUGUAGCGGUGAAAUGCAUAGAUAUCACGAAGAACUCCGAUUGCGAAGGCAGCAUACCGGAGCGCAACUGACGCUCAUGCACGAAAGCGUGGGUAUCGAACAGGAUUAGAUACCCCAGUAGUC